UGGAACUGCACUGCUAGAAGAUUCCUGGAAAUUCUGCCUCAGAAAUAACCAAGAGGUGGAACUGCAGUGGUAGAAGAUCCCUGGAAAUUCUGCCUCAGAAAUAACCAAGAGGUGGAACUGCAGUGGUAGAAGAUCCCUGGAAAUUCUGCCUCAGAAAUAACCAAGAGGUG